rnacentral:tRNA from 1 species
ACGGAAGUAGAUCAGUUGAUAGAGCAUUAGCCUUCCAAGCUGAGGGUCGCGGGUUUGAGCCCCGUCUUCCGCUCUA